rnacentral:rRNA from 1 species
AUUGAACGCUGGCGGCAGGCCUAACACAUGCAAGUCGAGCGAGCGGCGGACGGGUGAGUAAUGUGUGGGAAUCUGCCAUGUGGAGGGGGAUAACCACUGGAAACUGUAGCUAAUACCGCAUCCCAUCAGGUGACCCCAUAUGGGAUUGGCUUGUAGGUGGGGUAACGGCUCACCUAGGCGACGAUCCCUAGCUGGUCUGAGAGGAUGAUCAGCCACACUGGAACGGAGACACGGCCCAGACUCCUACGGGAGGCAGCAGUGGGGAAUAUUGCACAAUGGGCGCAAGCCUGAUGCAGCCAUGCCGCGUGUAUGAAGAAGGCCUUCGGGUUGUAAAGUACUUUCAGUGGGGAGGCGUUACCGGCAGAAGAAGCACCGGCUAACUCCGUGCCAGCAGCCGCGGUAAUUC